GACAGAGGGUGCAAACGUUGUUCGGAAUUACUGGGCGUAAAGCGCGUGUAGGCGGCCCUGCAAGUCGGAUGUGAAAUCCCACGGCUCAACCGUGGAAGUGCAUUCGAAACUGCAGGGCUAGAGUCCUGGAGAGGAAGGUGGAAUGCUUGGUGUAGAGGUGAAAUUCGUAGAUAUCAAGCGGAACACCGGUGGCGAAGGCGGCUCACUGGACUGGUAUUGACGCUGAGGUGCGAAAGCGUGGGGAGCAAACAGG
rnacentral:rRNA from 1 species